AUUGAACGCUGGCGGCAGGCCUAACACAUGCAAGUCGAGCGAGCGGCGGACGGGUGAGUAAUGUAUGGGGACUGCCCGAUAGAGGGGGAUAACGACUGGAAACGGUAGCUAAUACCGCAUACUAUCGGAUAACCCAUAUGGGAUUAGCUAGUAGGUGAGGUACUGGCUCACCUAGGAGACGAUCCAUAGCUGGUCUGAGAGGAUGAGCAGCCACACUGGGACGUAGACACGGCCCAGCCGCCUACGGAGGAAGCAGUGGGUAAUAUUGCACAAUGGGCGACAGCCUGAUGCAGCCAUGCCGCGGGUAUGAAGAAGGCCUUAGGGGUGUAAAGUACUUGCAGUCGGGAGGCGUUACCGACAGAAGAAGCACCGGCGAACUCCGUGCCAGCAGCGGCGGUAAUUC
rnacentral:rRNA from 1 species